AUAUAUGGUGUAAUCAUAGAACAAAUUCUAAUCAUAAACAUCCUUUGUAUGUCGGACUGAAAAAAUUCAAGUAGCCUUUUAGAUCUAUCUCUAUAGAUUUUCAUCAUUAGGAUGAGAGAUGUUUUUCUCAAAGUUCUUUAUAGAGAACAAUAAUAACUGCAAAAUUUUUAUUUUCUAUAAUAUAAAAAAUAUCAUUUCUAAUUAAAAAAAUUUUAUUCACAUACAAGACAAGAAAUACACUCACAGAACUAUUAACCCAUUUAUAUUUGCAGGAUUUUUCUUCAUUCUCAAUGAAGCCAUACAUUUUGAUCACUUACCAAAAUACACAUUUCAACUUUAAAAUAUUUAGCAUUGCCACAAGAGAAAAUAUCUCAUUAUGGUUAAUAUCAUAAUAUUGACAAUAUCCUUAGGCAACCAGAUGAGUUUUGUAGGUCUCCAUCUUCUCAUCUGCACUCUCUGAUCCUAUUGAAGAUCUACUUACACUCUAUGAGCUUUAUCCUUCGAGUGAAUCAAUGAGUGUCCAUACACUGUUGAUCUUUAUGGACAUCAUUUCGGACUCUAUGGCUCCAAACCAUUAACCAGAGUUGGACCUCUGCAUGGUAUCCAUAUAGG
rnacentral:lncRNA from 1 species